GUGCCUAAUACAUGCAAGUCGAGCGGACAGAUGGGAGCUUGCUCCCUGAUGUUAGCGGCGGACGGGUGAGUAACACGUGGGUAACCUGCCUGUAAGACUGGGAUAACUCCGGGAAACCGGGGCUAAUACCGGAUGCUUGAUUGAACCGCAUGGUUCAAUUAUAAAAGGUGGCUUUUAGCUACCACUUACAGAUGGACCCGCGGCGCAUUAGCUAGUUGGUGAGGUAACGGCUCACCAAGGCAACGAUGCGUAGCCGACCUGAGAGGGUGAUCGGCCACACUGGGACUGAGACACGGCCCAGACUCCUACGGGAGGCAGCAGUAGGGAAUCUUCCGCAAUGGACGAAAGUCUGACGGAGCAACGCCGCGUGAGUGAUGAAGGUUUUCGGAUCGUAAAACUCUGUUGUUAGGGAAGAACAAGUACCGUUCGAAUAGGGCGGUACCUUGACGGUACCUAACCAGAAAGCCACGGUAACUACGUGCCAGCAGCCCGCGGU
rnacentral:rRNA from 1 species